GGCGCACGGGUGAGUAACACGUGACUAACCUACCCUCGAGUGGGGAAUAACCUAGAGAAAUCUGGGCUAAUACCGCAUAACACUUACGAGUCAAAGCAGCAAUGCGCUUGAGGAGGGGGUCGCGGCCGAUUAGCUAGUUGGCGGGGUAAUGGCCCACCAAGGCGAUGAUCGGUAUCCGGCCUGAGAGGGCGCACGGACACACUGGAACUGAAACACGGUCCAGACUCCUACGGGAGGCAGCAGUGGGGAAUUUUGCGCAAUGGGGGAAACCCUGACGCAGCAACGCCGCGUGGAGGAUGAAAUCCCUUGGGAUGUAAACUCCUUUCGAUCGGGACGAUUAUGACGGUACCGGAAGAAGAAGCCCCGGCUAACUUCGUGCCAGCAGCCGCGGUAAUACGAGGGUGGCAAGCGUUGUUCGGAAUUAUUGGGCGUAAAGGGCGCGUAGGCGGUCUGACAAGUCUGAUGUGAAAUCUCUGGGCUCAACCCAGAGUCUGCAUUAGAAACUGUCGGGCUUGAGUAUGGGAGAGGUGAGUGGAAUUUCCGGUGUAGCGGUGAAAUGCGUAGAUAUCGGAAGGAACACCUGUGGCGAAAGCGGCUCACUGGACCAUAACUGACGCUGAGGCGCGAAAGCUAGGGGAGCAAACAGGAUUAGAUACCUUGGUAGUCCUAGCCCUAAACGAUGAUUGCUUGGUGUGACAGGUACCCAAUCCUGUCGUGCCGAAGCUAACGCGAUAAGCAAUCCGCCUGGGGAGUACGGUCGCAAGGCUGAAACUCAAAGGAAUCGACGGGGGCCCGCACAAGCGGUGGAGCAUGUGGUUUAAUUCGA
rnacentral:rRNA from 1 species